ensembl:lncRNA
UUCCAUGUCAGCACAUUUCACUCCCAUUAGCCCAUUCUUACGAUUAGCAUCAUUACUGUAUUGUUCAACACGAGGAGUCCAAACUCCAGACCCCAUCAAGCCUCAUCACAAACCUCCCAAAAGCUUCUCUUCCACCACCAGCAGCAGUCCCUGACCCAGCUCCCCUAGCUACUAUGCAUUCAUCCCCCACUUACUGUACUCCCGGCAGUCAUAAGCACUCUCCAGCAUCACCAGGUAAUCUUGCAGGGAUCACUCCUGCUUUCAGUGUUAUUGUGCACACUGGUCAGCCACCUCGGUGUAUUUUCUCAACAGAGCUCACAGGUUUCCAAAAUGGAUCUCUCCUUGAGGUUCUUCAGAGUAACAGCACUCUAAAUGUUCAUAUUCACAAUGCAGGUGUGAAGGUGACAAAGACCCCAGGCGUGGAUGAAUCAUACUUCCAGUCGUAGAUUUGCAAGGAUUCCUCCAUCAGCUCUGUGAGAAUUUCUUCUCAAGCUGAAUGUUCAGCAGGGACGCACCUAGGAGCAGACAGCAGUCCAUCAUCUCUGAUAUAUUUGUCUGGAAUUAUUCAAGAGAUCCUCACCUGUGUGAAAACUGUCAUUAGUAGAAACCAAGUCCAUCUCCAACCUAUUGUAGCACAUCGCACUUACUUGUUAGUAAUUGUGGAAACAGGCAGUACAAAUUCCUCAGACCUUUCAUAGUUGGUUUCCUUCACAUCAGCUUCCUUAGAAAAGAAACAAGAAUUCCAUUAAGAUGCUAAUUUAAUUGAAAAUACUUUUGAAGUGUUCUGUCCUAGGUAUUACUACUCAUCAUAAUCAAUAGGUUAGAUUGAAGACCGAAGACAACUCCAUCCAGUGGGCUAUUUUUCCUGCUACUGGUCUGAGAUGAGACAGAAAGGGACUUCUAUGUCAGGUAAUACAACCAGCACGUUGCCUCCUACUUCAUACCCUCUAUUUAUGAGCACAUGAUUUCAUUAAAUUCCACAUUCCAAGCAUUUUCCAUCAGCCUUGAUGUUAUUCCAGUGCAAAUUAAGAAGCCCUGAUCAAGGGGAAGGAGGCAGAUCUCCUACCAAAGCUGAUUAUAACACAUGCGACAUGCUCCAACCCCAGGAAGGGACAGAGAGCAGCCAGCACUCCUGCAGUGCCCUGCUGGGAGCACAGUUCAAAGAAGGUUCAUGACGUGAUGCAGUCCUCUCUCAAAUCCCAGGCACCACUCCACUAUCUCUAGCCAUCUCAAGCCUGCUAUUAGAAGAUGCUUUUCCACAAAGCUCUCUCUUCAGGAUCUUCCAUGUCUUCGGGUCCCACUCAACUGGCAUCUCACAAACAAGGCAUCCAGAUGAGAAGAAUACACUCAGAAAACAAGUCCUAAGCACAGCCACUGCCAGGUACUGUUCGGAGACCACAGAACUAUACAGUGGCAUAGGUUGGAAGGGACCUUAAUGAUCACCCACUGCCAUGGGCUGGCUGCCCACCAGCUCAGGCUGCCCAGGGCCCACCCAUGGCCUGGGGCAGCUCCAGGGAUGGGGCACCACAGCUCGUACUGCAACUCUCGGACUGUCAGGGCGACUCGGAAACGCAUUUGAUAGCUCACUCAGAUCGCCACUGAGCAUGAAGGGUUUUCUCUGGUGUACCUCAGUAACCACACACAGAGCACUUCGAGCCGUGCCCUGGGAAAGUACACACACUGCAAGUUUGCUGGUUGGUGGGUUUAUCGGUCUAUCCUUUUAUUAUUAUCAUUAUUUGCCUUGAAAGAGACCCGCAGGAGCAUCCCUGCCCUCAGCUGCUCCACCCGAACCCAC